CACAAAACAUAAUUCAUCAUACCUUUUGUUUGGAGGAGAGUGUUUGGAAGAUAUAGCAGAUGUAAAAGGAGGCUGCCCACCUGCUUUGCUGUGUUAACCACAGGGAGCACAUUACACCAAUUACUAAAAAACUUCACUGACUUUAUUUGCUUCUUGUUGCAAGUCAGAAAAUGAAGAGAGUUGACAAGGUUUAAAAGAUCUCUAAACCUUUGGAUUCUUGACACCUGAGACAGUUCAGCAAUCAGCUCACUGUAAAUGCUCUAGAUGAAAAUACACAGAACCAGAUCCCUACUUUCUGAAAAGAAGCACUGCUGAAUUACCUGAGAUGCAAACUCUGAGUUAAAGAGAAAAAGACUCAAAAAUUCCAACUUCUAGAAGAAAGCAAGCUAUUUUUCUUAAAGCGCUCCAAAACCAGCAUAUUAGACCGAAUGUGAUUUAUGAGAAGUCAGCAUCCUCUACAUCUUUAAGGGCAAAACCUAUUUAACAGUAGCUGAACUAGUAUGGACAGAGCCUUCUACAGGUGGAGGAUUCUCAAGAUUCCCCCUCCCCCCUUCCAGGUAACAACACAGAAAAACAAAGUAAAUUUUACUUCAUUUGGGAGGAGACAAUAUGCAUCAAGAAAACAAACAAAACUCCUGGCACUGAACUGUGUCUCAAGAUGCAGUAGCUACAGUGCUGUUCUUAAACUGCUCGAUAGAUACCUGUGUUCCUGGGAAGCUGUGUUUCUGCUGUGGCCAACUUUCUCCCUUAGGACAUACCCAAGCAUGAAGAUACCAGUUUCUUUAUACAUCAUGUAUGGAUGGAAUUGACUAGGUAAUCUCUGUAUGUCUUACUUUUGGAGUCUGCUCCAAGAGAUGUAGUUUCUUAUGUUUACCAGGCCAACUCUUGAACAGAAAUGUAACAAGAAUUAUUGUGGCCUCUGCAGCUUUCCUGCUGGCUUAAAAUACUUGCACAAGAAACAGUAUAUCUAGGUUCAAAGCACUUAAUCUGAAGUGGAGCAGCAUAUGGAUCAUUGGUCUCCUGCUAACAAAGGAACUGCCAUUAUUAUGGAGUUACUAGGCACUUUGAGAAAGGGAGAGGAAUCUCUUUAGAAGUAAAACAUUUCCCUUUAAUAAAUAUAUAAAGAUGUAGAUGAAUACUGAAUACUUAAUAACAUAAUAACUACAUCAUUAAGACUCAGAUUCACUCCCAACAUGACAAAAUUAUAUUCAUACUCUCAUAAGCUCCUGUUAGAAUUAAUGGCAAGAUCACAGCCUAAGAUGAGAAUAUCCUUCCAGAGACAGUUGUAUUACAAAAUAUGAAGUCUGAAGCGGCUACGUUCAGCAGUCAGAUGCUGAAAACUAGGUUUGAUAAUGCCAGGCUAAUCUAAAUGACCUUGGUUCCUGUCGUUGCUCUCGUUAAAGACUAAGUACAUGUAUGUUAUGCAAAAUAAAAACACUUUGACAAGAGACUAAGUUAACCGCAGAACACUGUAUAUCCUAUUUCCUGCAUACUUUCUCAGGAGUCUGAAACUCUAGGAACAUUUUUUUUCUAAUUCCCAGGGAAGGAUGUGCCAAUAGGUUAUCCAAGUAUCAGCAGACUGCUGUAAUAGCUUAGAUAAAGCUGCCACAUUCUGUUUUUUGUUUGUUUUUUAAUGUUGCUGUGCUUAGGUAUCUAACUAAAGGGAGUGGUUCACUCCCACUAGGAACCCAGAGUGCUCACAGGCACCUAGCCAACUUUGUGGCACUUCCAGAUAGUUCCCAGCUCAGCAAACAUGUGAAUCAUAUUCUUAUACACAGCUCUUCUUAUACUGCAUAAGAAAAAUAGGUGACUGCUUGAAGUAAUGCAGAAAGAUGUACAAUAGCAGGAAGUGGCAUUGUUCCCUGUAUGGCUAAUACAGAAAAAGACGCCAUGAGGCCUCCACUCUAAAUCACUGUCUGGUGAGGUGCCUAUCUUUUGCCAUUGAUCAAAUGGACCAUAGUCGAUGGACCUCUGUGAUUAGUGAAUAGCUUGCCUCUCUCCUUGUAAAUCUAAGCCUUUCUCAUGGAUUUAACCCUUUAGUCCACACAGAAGACAAAUUUGGAUUUAAGUUAGAUUAGUCUGGCUUUUUUUUUUUUUUCCAGCGAAAAAAAUGAAAGUUUAAUACAGUACAAAGGUGAAUGAAUGAUUUUUGGUGUUUGAAAUCAAUCCAGGGCUAAUUUUCUAUUCCUGGCUAAAAAUGACAAAAUCACGUUGCUGAAAACUAAUGCGUCAAACUAGUCAAGAUUUUCAGGGAUUAUUAUUUGUUUAUCUCUAGGGAAAUCAAGAAUUGAUGCAGAGAGAAGAUAUUUUUUACUAAGUGUCUUGCAACAGUAAUUUAUUCAUAAUGCUCUAGUAAGCUCUAGUCAAGAAAAUCCUUGUACUGUUGUGACAAUGUCUAUAUAAAAAUAUUGAUAACUGUACACAUAAUUUGCAUCCUCUAUCUGUCAAACUCAUGUCCUGUUUUGGCUACCUAAAGUGCAAUAUAUUAAACUUAUUUAUAAGAAAUUGACUUUCUUGUUUAGUAUAAGAAUUGGUACGCUAAGAAUAUGGUUCUGUGUCCAGCUUUCAACUUGUGUAAAUUAGGAUGGUUAAGAGACACUCAACUGUCUCUCUUACUUCCAAUGCAUUAAUCAAAAGUAUUUUCAACACAUACCCCAUGUUCAGUGAGAAUAGUACAUAAGCUGUAAGUAGCAUUUUGUUGUGACUGCAAUAAUGCAGAAAACUCCCAUGCUAAAACUGUCACUCACAACUUAGUUAAUAAUGUUAUUUUGAUAUUUUACUGCAAUUUCCAAAGCUCCUCUUUUAGUUUACAAAAACUGGAGCUUUAAAAUACUAAGUUACAACAACAUAUUUUCUCUAAUGGAAAGUAAGGACUUCACAAAAACAAAAGGAUUUCACCAAUCAAGGCAUUAUUUAUUUCAAGAUAACUAACAAAAAAAAUAAUUUAAUUAUGCCCCUGUAUCAACACCAUGUGACUUUCAAAAUUUUCUGGCAGACCAGGAAUCCAUAACUAGAACACAUUCCCUUAACAGCACAAAUAUUUGGAUUAAUUGCAUUAAAAAAAACUAAUUUAGGAGGAUUUGGGAAUGUUUUUACAAGGUUUAGGAAGGAUUUCAUUAGGAUUACACGAUCAGUAACUUUCAGUGUACUUAACUGUUCGCAUUAACUCUCUAGGCAACCAUGAAACAGAUCAGUCAUCUGCUGCUCUGCUGCUUAUUAAUUCUUAUCCAAGAUUUUGUCACCAUAAAGGGAAUGUCUUUAUAGUUCAUUGUAUACUUCAACCAGCCAGAAUUAAAAAACUGUGCCUUAAUGAGAAUCUCAAUGCUGACAUGGUUCUUCUGACUGUUGGAUUUAAAAGAGCAGGGUGCACUUGUCUUCUGCGUAUUUCUGUUGUCUUGUGUGUUCCAUUCAGAGAAAUUGAACUUUAGUCUGUGGCUUAACAUGACAUUUCAGUUAAGUUAGUCUGCUUUUGUCACAUGAUAAUAUUCCUUGCCAACUUUUUUUUUUUUUUUCAAAGCUCUGUUAAUUGCAAACUUAACAAAUGUAUUUAAACUGUGUGCCAGUGUUCUAAGGACAACACAUUAAUCCAAGGGAGAAAAUGCACAUAAAACAAAGAGUUUAAGCAAUUGGAUAUUGGUAGCUCUACUCUUGCAAAUUAACCACAUCGGUUUUAUGUCAAAUGCCCUGAGCUAAGAACUGGUACAAGGCAGGGAAAUUAGGGCUCUUGUGAAAGUUCUGGAAAAUGGAAACAAACAAAUAAAAAAGAAUGUGUAUGCUUCUCAUAAUUAUGGGAAACCUGAUUUUUUAAAAAUAAACGUACUUUUGAUUUGAUUGUCUAAUGAGAUCAUAACUGCAGUAAUGUGUCAACUAUGUCAGAAACAAUAUGAGUGUCCAGUUGUGAGCACACUGUUCUAUUGUAUGCUAAUAUCUGAAUGUAAAUAUUGCAAAUGCACAAACAAAUCAAGAAAUGUCACCCAAGAAUGCCCCUGGGAAACAUAACAGAGGCAGCUGUGCAAACAACUGUAAUAACAGGGAAUAAAUUUAUGAGCAUAUGUAGAUUUACUCAGUUUCUGUUGCAAAAAUAGAUUUUACCUUUCACCGCAGGUGACUUGUCAUUAUUUGCUACAUCUAUUAUCAUAGUACAAUAGAUCGCUAUGAUUUCAUUGAUGGAACAGCAGACAGGAAGUAUAAAAUGUUCAAAUA